rnacentral:rRNA from 1 species
GGUGGCUAUUGCGUUGGGGAUCACCUCUUUCCAUUCCGAACAGAGAAGUUAAGCCCAAUUGCGCCGAUGGUACUGGUAUUUCCGGGAGAGUAGGUCGCCGCC